GCUUGGCAUGUCUGGGSRSGUUGGGAUCCCUGCUUGGGCAGCGACGACGUGCCUUGCAUGCCUCUUCAGUCGGUCGCCCAAGUGCGUGCUAGCCUUGGUCGUUCCGUUGGUUUCCUGUGCUAUAUACCUACCACGAAGGUAUCGAAUCGGCUAAAAAUGUCCCGUUUCAGCCUUGUGCUGCGCCCCUUGGGGCUGCGGUGCGGGGUGGACCUCAAAGCACCUGCCGUGUUCCACUGCUCGUACGUCUCGACACGUGCUCGAGUUUUUGGCCCAUGGUUGCGUGCUCGAUCUCUCGGAUGCGGAAAAUUGAGUGGGCACGAGGCCUYCGGUCCCUAUUUGCCCCGAAACAAAGCGUUUCACGCUUCGUGCGAACGACGAUCGUAGCCGUUUUGAUUCAAGUCCGAGCGGCUUGGGUCAUGCGGUGUCGGCGUCGGUGAGGAAUKCYMCCUGGUUGAUCU
rnacentral:misc_RNA from 1 species